CUCCGAUUGCGAAGGCAGCUUACGGGAGCGCAACUGACGCUGAAGCUCGAAAGUGCGGGUAUCGAACAGGAUUAGAUACCCUGGUAGUCCGCACGGUAAACGAUGGAUGCCCGCUCUGAGUCCUUUUGGAUUUGGGGCCAAGCGAAAGCAUUAAGCAUCCCACCUGGGGAGUACGCCGGCAACGGUGAAACUCAAAGGAAUUGACGGGGGCCCGCACAAGCGGAGGAACAUGUGGUUUAAUUCGAUGAUACGCGAGGAACCUUACCCGGGCUUGAAUUGCAGGAGAACGAUCCAGAGAUGGUGAGGCCCUUCGGGGCUCCUGUGAAGGUGCUGCAUGGUUGUCGUCAGCUCGUGCCGUGAGGUGUCGGCUUAAGUGCCAUAACGAGCGCAACCCCUCUCCUUAGUUGCCAUCAGGUUAAGCUGGGCACUCUGGGGACACUGCCACCGUAAGGUGUGAGGAAGGUGGGGAUGACGUCAAAUCAGCACGGCCCUUACGUCCGGGGCUACACACGUGUUACAAUGGCGUGUACAGAGAGUUGGUGACAGGCAAAUGUCAUCUAAUCCUAAAAGCACGUCUCAGUUCGGACUGGGGUCUGCAACCCGAGCCCCACGAAGCUGGAUUCG
rnacentral:rRNA from 1 species